AGUGUUAGUGAUGGGGUAGUGCCGACCUCACCAUGAAGGACCUCUCUACCUCUGCUUUUGUGUGUCCCAUGAACUAGAUUGUGACCUGACUAUGGAAGCAUUGCAUGUGACAGAGGCCUGAGUCUUGGCAUCCCAUCACGAGAGUUGUGACUUGGGAACUGAGUUUCUCCUGGCUGAGAAGUGGGGAAAUGAAGGCUAUGUUGGGGAUGAAGGGGUUCUGCUGAUGCCAUAAACUCCAGGAACACAGAUGAAGUUGUGCAGGAACACCAGCAGAGCUUGGAAAGUGAAUUAAUAGCAAGGUGUUUGUUUACAGUCUUCUGUAAAAUGCUGCUGGGAAUAUCUGGUUCGUUUUUUUAAACCUUCAGUGAUGAUCCAAACAUUGAGAGGCAUCUCAUGGGCCAGCUAUCAAGAGAUACCCUGUUAUGCUGUGGUGGGGCGAAUGAAGGCAUUUUCAACCAUAAACAAGUGAGCGUACAGCUUCGUGGAGAGCUGGAAGAGGCAGUCCAGUUCCUUUUUUCAUAUAUGAAUGAAUGUACUGACACAGAGAAUAGCUGCAUGCAGCUCUGGUUUUGGUUUUUACGUCAUGGAUGUUUGGCCUCAAGACAGG
rnacentral:lncRNA from 1 species